rnacentral:rRNA from 1 species
UACGGGGGGGGUAAGCGUUGUUCGGAAUUACUGGGCGUAAAGGGCUCGUAGGCGGCCAACUAAGUCGGACGUGAAAUCCCUCAGCUUAACUGGGGAACUGCGUCCGAUACUGGAUGGCUUGGAUUUGGGAGAGGGAUGCGGAAUUCCAGGUGUAGCGGUGAAAUGCGUAGAUAUCUGGAGGAAUACCGGUGGCGAAGGCGGCAUCCUGGACCGGCAUUGACGCUGAUGAGCGAAAGCUAGGGGAGCAAACGGG